CCUACGGGUGGCAGCAGUGAGGAAUAUUGGUCAAUGGACGAGAGUCUGAACCAGCCACGUCGCGUGAAGGAUGACUGCCCUAUGGGUUGUAAACUUCUUUUAUAUGGGAAUAAAACGUUCCACGUGUGGGAUUUUGUAUGUACCAUAUGAAUAAGGAUCGGCUAACUCCGUGCCAGCAGCCGCGGUAAUACGGAGGAUCCGAGCGUUAUCCGGAUUUAUUGGGUUUAAAGGGAGCGUAGGUGGAUUGUUAAGUCAGUUGUGAAAGUUUGCGGCUCAACCGUAAAAUUGUAGUUGAAACUGGCAGUCUUGAGUACAGUAGAGGCGGGCGGAAUUCGUGGUGUAGCGGUGAAAUGCUUAGAUAUCACGAAGAACUCCGAUUGCGAAGGCAGUUCACUGGACUGCAACUGACACUGAGGCUCGAAAGUGUGGGUAUCAAACAGGAUUAGAUACCCGGGUAGUC
rnacentral:rRNA from 1 species